AGCACUAUAUUUAAGCCUAUGGAUGGGAAUUUUCUCCAUUCUUGGUUACACUCUGGAGCAAACCAAUUCCUGACUCUUUCUCUUGCACAGCUGACUUGUACUGUUCUGGAGUUAAGGCACUUUA